AGCGUUGUCCGGAUUUAUUGGGCGUAAAGCGAGCGCAGGCGGUUUUUUAAGUCGAAUGGGAAAGCCUUCGGCUCAACCGAAGAAGUGCAUCGGAAACUGGGAAACUGGAGUGCAGAAGAGGACAGUGGAACCUCCAGGGGUAGCGGGAAAAUGCGUAGAUAUAUGGAAGAACACCAGUGGCGGAAGGCGGCUGUCUGGUCUGUAACUGACCCUGAGGCUCGAAAAGUAUGGGUAGCAAACAGGAUUAGAUACCCUGGUAGUCCAUACCGUAAACCGAUGAAUGCUAAAGUGUUGGAGGGUUUCCGCCCUUCAGUGCUGCAGCUAACGCAUUAAGCAUUCCCGCCUGGGGAGUACGGCCGCAAGGGCUGAAACUCAAAGGAAUUGACGGGGGCCCGCACAAGCGGUGGAGCAUGUGGUUUAAUUAGAAGCUACGCGAAGAACCUUACCAGGUCUUGACAUACUAUGCAAAUCUAAGAGAUUAGACGUUCCCUUCGGGGACAUGGAUACAGGUGGUGCAUGGUUGUCGUCAGCUCGUGUCGUGAGAUGUUGGGUUAAGUCCCGCAACGAGCGCAACCCUUAUUAUCAGUUGCCAGCAUUAAGUUGGGCACUCUGGUGAGACUGCCGGUGACAAACCGGAGGAAGGUGGGGAUCACGUCAAAUCAUCAUGCCCCUUAUGACCUGGGCUACACACGUGCUACAAUGGAUGGUACAACGAGUUGCGAACUCGCGAGAGUAAGCUAAUCUCCUAAAGCCAUUCUCAGUUCGGAUUGUAGGCUGCAACUCGCCUACAUGAAGUCGGAAUCGCUAGUAAUCGCGGAUCAGCAUGCGCGUGAAUACGUUCCCGGGCUUGUACACACCGGCCGUCACACAUGAGAGUUGUAACACCAAAGUCGGUGGGGUAACUUUUAGGACAGCGCCUAGGGGAAGAUGAUUAGGGGGAGUCGUACAGGUAGCCGUAGGAAACCUGCGGGCCUGAUCACUCCUU
rnacentral:rRNA from 2 species